rnacentral:rRNA from 1 species
UGAGACCUCAGGUCAGGCGGGGCUACCCG